AGAGUUUGAUCCUGGCUCAGGAUGAACGCUGGCGGCAUGCCUAACACAUGCAAGUCGAUCGGUAAGGCUCUUCGGAGUACACGAGAGGCGGACGGCUGAGUAACGCGUAGGAACACACCCUGCAGUGAGGGAUAAGACACCGAAAGGUGUUCUAAUACCGCAUACGGUCUUCGGAUUAAAGCAUUUAUGCGCUGAAGGAGUGGCCUGCGUCAUAUUAGAUAGUUGGUGAGGUAAUGGCUUACCAAGUCGAUGAUGUGUAGCUGGUCUGAGAGGAUGAUCAGCCAGACUGGAACUGAGACACGGUCCAGACUCCUACGGGAGGCAGCAGUGAGGAAUAUUUCACAAUGAGCGAAAGCUUGAUGGAGCAAUGCCGCGUGCAGGAUGAAGGCCCUCGGGUUGUAAACUGCUUUUAUAAGAGAAGAUUAUGACGGUAACUUAUGAAUAAGGGACGGCUAACUACGUGCCAGCAGCCGCGGUCAUACGUAGGUCCCGAGCGUUAUCCGGAGUGACUGGGCGUAAAGAGUUGCGUAGGCGGUCAAGUUAGCGAGCGAUGAAAACUAUCGGCUCAACCGAUAGCUUGUUGUUCGAACUGCUUGACUCGAGAGUAUCAGAGGUCGCUGGAAUUCCUAGUGUAGCAGUGAAAUGCGUAGAUAUUAGGAAGAACACCGAUGGCGUAGGCAGGCGACUGGGAUAUUUCUGACGCUAAGGCACGAAAGCGUGGGUAGCGAACCGGAUUAGAUACCCGGGUAGUCCACGCCGUAAACGAUGGAUACUGGCU
rnacentral:rRNA from 1 species